AUUGAACGCUGGCGGCAUGCUUUACACAUGCAAGUCGAACGGCAGCGCGGGCUUCGGCCUGGCGGCGAGUGGCGAACGGGUGAGUAAUGCAUCGGAACGUGCCCAGUAGUGGGGGAUAGCCCGGCGUAAGCCGGAUUAAUACCGCAUACGACCUGAGGGUGAAAGCGGGGGACCGAAAGGCCUCGCGCUAUUGGAGCGGCCGAUGUCGGAUUAGCUAGUUGGUGGGGUAAAGGCUUACCAAGGCGACGAUCCGUAGCUGGUCUGAGAGGACGACCAGCCACACUGGGACUGAGACACGGCCCAGACUCCUACGGGAGGCAGCAGUGGGGAAUUUUGGACAAUGGGGGCAACCCUGAUCCAGCCAUGCCGCGUGCGGGAAGAAGGCCUUCGGGUUGUAAACCGCUUUUGUUCGGGAAGAAAUCCUCUGGGCUAAUACCCCGGGGGGAUGACGGUACCGGAAGAAUAAGCACCGGCUAACUACGUG
rnacentral:rRNA from 1 species